GACGUAGGAGGCGAGCGUUGUCCGGAUUCAUUGGGCGUAAAGAGCACGCAGGCGGUUUGGCAAGUCGGAUGUGAAAACCCGAAGCUCAACUUCGGGCCUGCAUUCGAUACGGGCUGGCUAGAGUGUGGUAGGGGAGAUCGGAAUUCCUGGUGUAGCGGUGAAAUGCGCAGAUAUCAGGAGGAACACCGGUGGCGAAGGCGGAUCUCUGGGCCGAUACUGACGCUGAGGAGCGAAAGCGUGGGGAGCGAACAGG
rnacentral:rRNA from 1 species